CGACUUGUGUGCGUGCCUGU
rnacentral:misc_RNA from 1 species